rnacentral:misc_RNA from 1 species
UCACCAAGAUUAAUGAAAUAUCAUUCCUAGGUGAACCUGUAAAAUGCCUCAUACGUCAUAGAUAGGCAUCUCAAAGUAGUCAAACAUCAUCGAGUCGGCUAAAGUUAGAGAAACUACAAGUCCUCUGAAAAGCAACCAAUAUGAUAAGCUCCUGGAAACUGGUCCUUGGUUGAGGAAGUGGCAGGGGUUGAUGAAACUUUCAGAGCAGAAAAAUGCCGGUAAGGUCGAUGAACUGGAGGUAGCAAUAAUGAUGAUUCUCGGUCCAUUGCCAGUAGCCGCCCACACUUACUGCAAACUUUAGUAAAGAGCGUUUGAUAGCUGCAGAUCCAAUGCAAAAGAAAAUGAAGUGCUGUUUCAGUCCCAAUACCCAGAAAAUGUUGCAGUGCCAUUGCAGCAUGCUCCGUGAUAUGUCUGAAUACAUGAUGAACUGAAAAACCUCUUGUAUGUACAUAGCUGCCUCCCUCAUCUGGUGAAAAGAAAGCUACUGCAUCUGGGUCAAUAGAACCAGCUGGAUGCAAUGAAACAAUAGCUCUGAAGACAGAAGGAAACAACAGUUCAAUUACAGCAGCCUUAUCAGUGGUAACAGGGCCCUGUGAUCCUGUUCUUAGUUUAUUUAAAGAAUGAAAAGUAUGCUCUUUGGAUGUUUCAACAGGAUUUUCAUUUGUUGAAUUUGGCAGUGAAGAAGCUCUUUUCAACCAAUCUAGUCGCUCAAAAGUGAAAACUUUCAAAUUUGGCAUUUCUUUUUCCAGACGUGUUAAAACAUCUGAAAAUGUUUUGCAAUCACUAAGAUCUUCCUGAAGAGUUGCUGGUGGCACUUGGGUACUGCAAUGCUUUUUUGAUACAGGUUCAUUACUUUGACCCUCUAGUCCAUCAUCGAGGUGAGGGAAAAAUUGCCUUUUCUGAUCUGUGAAUGCCUUAAGAGCUAACCUAGUUCUAUCAACUGCUGAUGC